GUCUAGAAAACAGAAGACAACCUAUUCACAUUUCAAAGCAUAGUAGAUGAUGUAUUUGUUAUCAUUGAAAAUGCACAUUGAUAAGAGCCAUGAAGACUGGGAGCUUGAUCAGCAGCAUUUCCACAGAAUCUCUAGUCUCCCCAGUUCUACUGGAACCAACACUUCUAUGCUGUCCUAUGAGACCCAGGAUAGUUUCUCCUCUGGAGGUCCCAGGGUGUGGCAUGUCUACCGCUAGAGGUGCCCGAGAUGACUUUGGGAGAGACCAUCACCAAAAAAGAGAGAGAGAGAGCAAGUUGGAAUGUAGCCUCCUUAUAAAAACUGAUGUGUUCUUACAAGAGAAAGUGUGUGAGAUGAGGUUUGUUUCAUUCCACUUAUGUAAAUGUCUUCAAUGGAACCACAUUCUAAACAUUUUCAGGAUUUUCCCAUAUAUACUUAAAUCAGAAGCUUGCCACUUUUUAUGUGAAGGAAGCUUCAGUUUCUUUUAUAAAUUUCAUGUGAGAACUGUAAUAGCCCUCUUUUACUGGCAUAAAGUCUCCAAACCUAAAUCAACAAGAGUGGUCCAGAGCCUGCUCUGUGCCUUGUCCUGUGCUAAGUGUUUGUACACUUACUUUUCAGUAAUAGCCUUUUCAACUUAAUGAAUAGAAAGUUCAAAAGUUAUUGGAAGAUGUGAUACAAUAAAAAGGAAGUAAUGUUACUUACACAGUACUCAAAAUGUAGAGUACUUAACAGAGUAUGGCAAGGCUAUAUAUUGUUACUCUGUUUAUUUCACUUAUAUGUGAAAUACUAGGCUGGAUGAAUCACAAGCUGGAAUCUAGAUUGCCAGGAGAAAUAUCAACA
rnacentral:lncRNA from 1 species